AUCCAGUUGAUGAGUUCCAAAUAGGACGAAAUGCGCAUCCUGGAU
rnacentral:hammerhead_ribozyme from 1 species